GUCCGCACCGUAAACGAUGAUUACUCGUUGUUGGCAAUAUGACCGUCAGCGACCAAGCGAAAGCGAUAAGUAAUCCACCUGGGGAGUACGCCGGCAACGGUGAACUCAAAGGAAUUGACGGGGCCCGCACAAGCGGAGGAGCAUGUGGUUUAAUUCGAUGAUACGCGAGGAACCUUACCUGGGCUUGAAAGUUGGUGACCGGUCCUGAAAGGGAUCUUCCAGCAAUGGCGCGAAACUAGGUGCUGCAUGGCUGUCGU
rnacentral:rRNA from 1 species